AUUGAACGCUGGCGGCAGGCCUAACACAUGCAAGUCGAACGAGCGGCGGACGGGUGAGUAAUGUAUGGGGAUCUGCCCGAUGGAGGGGGAUAACUACUGGAAACGGUAGCUAAUACCGCAUACUCUCGGAUGAGCCCAAAUGGGAUUAGCUAGUAGGUGGGGUAAAGGCUCACCUAGGCGACGAUCUCUAGCUGGUCUGAGAGGAUGAUCAGCCACCUUGGGACGGAGACACGGUCCAGACUCCGACGGGAGGCAGCAGUGGGGAAUAUUGCACAAUGGGCGCAAGCCUGAUGCAGCCAUGCCGCGUGUAUGAAGAAGGCCUUAGGGUUGUAAAGUACUUUCAGCGGGGAGGCGUUACCCGCAGAAGAAGCAUCGGCUAACUCCGUGCCAGCAGCCGCGGUAAUUC
rnacentral:rRNA from 1 species